rnacentral:rRNA from 1 species
AACGAACGCUGGCGGCAUGCCUAACACAUGCAAGUCGAACGAGACCUUCGGGUCUAGUGGCGCACGGGUGCGUAACGCGUGGGAACCUGCCCUUAGGUUCGGAAUAACUCCCCGAAAGGGGUGCUAAUACCGGAUAAUGUCUUCGGACCAAAGAUUUAUCGCCUUUGGAUGGGGCCGCGUUGGAUUAGCUAGUUGGUAGGGUAAAAGCCUACCAAGGCGACGAUCCAUAGCUGGUCUGAGAGGAUGAUCAGCCACACUGGGACUGAGACACGGCCCAGACUCCUACGGGAGGCAGCAGUGGGGAAUAUUGGACAAUGGGCGAAAGCCUGAUACAGCAAUGCCGCGUGAGUGAUGAAGGCCUUAGGGUUGUAAAGCUCUGUUACCCGGGAUGAUAAUGACAGUACCGUGAGAAUAAGCUCCGGCUAACUCCGUG